GGGUAGUCUGAAGGUCGUGAAUUAUCUUGAUUGAUUCUUCACAGUUACAGUUGGAACUCCUUGUUCUACCUUUUUCCUCUUCUUACUGCUAUACUUGAGUAGUCUAAA
ensembl:misc_RNA Y_RNA Y RNA